rnacentral:rRNA from 1 species
AUUGAACGCUGGCGGCAGGCCUAACACAUGCAAGUCGAACGGUAACAGGAAGAAGCUUGCUUCUUUGCUGACGAGUGGCGGACGGGUGAGUAAUGUCUGGGAAACCGCCUGAUGGAGGGGGAUAACUACUGGAAACGGUAGCUAAUACCGCAUAACGUCGCAAGACCAAAAAGGGGGACCUUCCGGCCUCUCGCCAUCGGAUGUGCCCAGAUGGGAUUAGCUAGUAGGUGGGGUAACGGCUCACCUAGGCGACGAUCCCUAGCUGGUCUGAGAGGAUGACCAGCCACACUGGAACUGAGACACGGUCCAGACUCCUACGGGAGGCAGCAGUGGGGAAUAUUGCACAAAGGGCGCAAGCCUGAUGCAGCCAUGCCGCGUGUAUGAAGAAGGCCUUCGGGUUGUAAAGUACUUUCAGCGGGGAGGAAGGGAAUAAAGUUAAUACCUUUGCUCAUUGACGUUACCCGCAGAAGAAGCACCGGCUAACUCCGUG